UGGGGGAUAUUGCACAAUGGGGGAAACCCUGAUGCAGCGACGCCGCGUGGGUGAAGAAGCGCCUCGGCGCGUAAAGCCCUGUCAGCAGGGAAGAAAAUGACGGUACCUGAAGAACGAAGCCCCGGCUAACUACGUG
rnacentral:rRNA from 1 species